GGAAAUUAAAGUUUCGGAUAGUUUUGCGAAAAAAGGAAGUGUUUUGGUGUAGGAGAAAGUUUGAUUUAUUGAAAGGUCAGCUCUGCACACCUGAUUCCAAGCGAACCUCCGACGAAUCUACCGUGCCUAGAUGCUAGUUUGUUCCUUGCUGCAAACCUAAGUUGCAAGCAACCAACAAUCCGCCACCGGUACCAGGAACCGUCACUGAGGGUGAUUUGUACCUGUAAGUAAACCUAAAACAAAAAGGAAAAAAAUGUUAAUA